rnacentral:rRNA from 1 species
AAAAGCUGGCGGCGUGCCUAACGCAUGCAAGUCGAACGAUGAAGGAAAGAUGAAUCUUUCGGGAGGAUUCUUUCCGGAUUAGUGGCGGACGGGUGAGUAACGCGUGAGCAACCUGCCUCGAACAGUGGGAUAGCCAAGGGAAACUUUGAUUAAUACCGCAUGAUACCGAAAGCUCGCAUGAAUUUUCGGUCAAAGAACUUCGGUUCGAGAUGGGCUCGCGUCUGAUUAGCUAGUUGGUGUGAUAAAAGCGCACCAAGGCUGCGAUCAGUAACCGGCUUGAGAGAGUGAACGGACACACUGGAACUGAGACACGGUCCAGACUCCUACGGGAGGCAGCAGUGGGGAAUAUUGCACAAUGGAGGAAACUCUGAUGCAGCGACGCCGCGUGAGCGAAGAAGGAAUUCGUUUCGUAAAGCUCUGUCCUGGGGGAAGAUAAUGACGGUACCCCAGGAGGAAGCCCCGGCUAACUACGUGCCAGCAGCCGCGGUAAUACGUAGGGGGCGAGCGUUGUCCGGAAUUAUUGGGCGUAAAGGGUACGUAGGCGGUUUUUUAAGUCUGGUGUGAAAUCGGUGGGCUCAACCCACCCAAGCAUUGGAAACUGAAGAACUUGAAUCAUGGAGAGGAAAGUGGAAUUCCUAGUGUAGCGGUGAAAUGCGUAGAUAUUAGGAGGAAUACCGGUGGCGAAGGCGACUUUCUGGACAUGUAUUGACGCUGAGGUACGAAAGCGUGGGGAGCAAACAGGAUUAGAUACCCUGGUAGUCCACGCCGUAAACGAUGAGUGCUAGGCGUUGGGGGUCAAACCUCGGUGCCGCAGUUAACACAUUAAGCACUCCGCCUGGGGAGUACGUGCGCAAGCAUGAAACUCAAAUGAAUUGACGG